GACACGCUGGCGGCGUGCCUAACACAUGCAAGUCGAACGGAGCUUUUAUGGAAUGCGACUUCGGUCAAGUGAAGUUUAAGCUUAGUGGCGGACGGGUGAGUAACGCGUGAGCAACCUGCCUUUCAGAGGGGGACAACAGUUGGAAACGACUGCUAAUACCGCAUAACAUACAUUUAAGGCAUCUUUUAUGUAUCAAAGAUUUAUCGGUGAAAGAUGGACUCGCGUCCGAUUAGGUAGUUGGGUGAGGUAAACGGGCCCACCAAGCCGACGAUCGGUAGCCGGACUGAGAGGUUGAACGGCCACAUUGGGACUGAGACACGGCCCAGACUCCUACGGGAGGCAGCAGUGGGGAAUAUUGCACAAUGGGCGCAAGCCUGAUGCAGCAACGCCGCGUGAGGGAAGACGGUUUUCGGAUUGUAAACCUCUGUCUUUGGUGACGAAGAAGUGACGGUAGCCAAGGAGGAAGCCACGGCUAACUACGUG
rnacentral:rRNA from 1 species